AAUCAUGCGGUUAUCACAACAAAUACCAAAUCAUGUGAAAAAUGAGAAUCAAGAGGUCUUUCAAAGGUUGUAAUGUGGCUUAGGUUACAAGAAAGGAUAAGAUUAAGAGAAUUUACAAAGUUGCCUAUCCUAAGGGAGCAUUCCCAAACAUUCAACUCUACACAAUUUCCUUUUCCUUGGUCCCUAUCUUUUUCUUUUUCUUUUUAUUUUCAACUCCACACAACCAUGAGCAUUUUCUUUGCUUUUCUU
rnacentral:lncRNA from 1 species